UACGUAGGUGGCAAGCGUUGUCCGGAAUUAUUGGGCGUAAAGCGCGCGCAGGCGGCUCCUUAAGUCUGAUGUGAAAGCCCACGGCUCAACCGUGGAGGGUCAUUGGAAACUGGGGAACUUGAGUGCAGAAGAGGAGAGUGGAAUUCCACGUGUAGCGGUGAAAUGCGUAGAGAUGUGGAGGAACACCAGUGGCGAAGGCGACUCUCUGGUCUGUAACUGACGCUGAGGCGCGAAAGCGUGGGGAGCAAACAGG
rnacentral:rRNA from 1 species